rnacentral:lncRNA from 1 species
UUUUCUUCUCUUUGUCCCUGAUUUCAAAAUCCAGGGAGGAAACAAGUGAAAAGUUUGCUUUGCAGUCGAUGUGCCACAAUAUAUGAGUUUUCAUCAAAAACUUCAAAUAUUUUCAGGUAGAGUUAUCUCUAGACACUCAGAAGCAAUUAACAUUGUCUGCUUUAUAAAACGCAUUCUGCCCAUGCCUGUUUGUCAUGCAACUGUAUAAAUAUUAUUUUCAGGGUUUCUGCUAAAGCUGUGAUUGCUCAUCCCGGAGUCACUGGACUGACUCGGCAAGCACAGCUCUAUGUUGCAAGGCUGCCUACAACCCAGGAACUCAUUGCACAAAUAUGGCCAAGUACGCCUCUGCAGCAAAACGACGAUAUGAUUUUCACCAGAGCAGCCAUAGCAGUGGGACUGUGGCUGUGGGUCGUGGCCUAUGGACUCACACAGGAUGGAGCCGUGCAGGCUGCAGGUUGAACAUCAGAAGAACAGAAUUGUGACAGCAACAAGAGGGGGACUUGCCAUCUUCAAAUGAUGCUUUACAGCCCUAACAGCCAAGAUGAGAAACUGAGGCGCAGAUUUUCCCUGAUACCUAACUCUUCCAGAUUGCAUGGCUUGGAAAUAACAUUGAGCAUCAGUUCAAGAUCACAGCCAUUUGGAGGACAAAGCAGGGAUUUCCCAGGCCGUGAUUCAGCACAGCUUCGUUCCAGCAUGAUGGAAUUCAUGGGUGAGGCUGAGAACGCAGACAGACACAGAACGCACCGCAGAGGUGCUGUGAAUCUUUCUUCAUUUCUUGGCUGA